rnacentral:rRNA from 1 species
UACGUAGGGCGCAAGCGUUGUCCGGAAUUAUUGGGCGUAAAGAGCUCGUAGGCGGUUUGUCGCGUCUGCUGUGAAAACCUCAGGCUCAACCUGGGGCUUGCAGUGGGUACGGGCAGACUAGAGUGCGGUAGGGGUGACUGGAAUUCCUGGUGUAGCGGUGGAAUGCGCAGAUAUCAGGAGGAACACCGAUGGCGAAGGCAGGUCACUGGGCCGCAACUGACGCUGAGGAGCGAAAGCCUGGGGAGCGAACAGG